rnacentral:rRNA from 1 species
AUACGGAGGGUGCAAGCGUUGUUCGGAAUCACUGGGCGUAAAGGGCGUGCCGGCGGUUUGUUUAGUCAGAUGUGAAAGCCCAUGGCUCAACCAUGGAAGUGCAUUUGAAACUGUCAGACUUGAGUACUAGAGGGGAAAGUGGAAUUCCCGGUGUAGAGGUGAAAUUCGUAGAUAUCGGGAGGAAUACCGGUGGCGAAGGCGACUUUCUGGCUAGAUACUGACGCUGAGGCGCGAAAGCGUGGGGAGCAAACAGGAUUAGAAACCCCGGUAGUCC